UUCACCCCCUUUUUGGUAUUCGCGGACAAUUACCUGCUCGCUGUUGCAUUGCGCGGUCUUGGGGUCUUGAGGGAUUGGGUGUUACCAGCUUAACCUAAAAGAUCAGCGCAUUAUUCACACACGGGGAGUGCUUCGGACGGGCGAAUCUGUGGCACGUAGCGGACACCGGAUCGCUACCUCUGCCUCUACUUUCCUCGAUUUAGGUGCUUUCUCUCCUUGCCGUGCCCUCUCUGCCGUACACGCACGCUCUCGCUCUCUCGCGUCGUGUGCACCUUCGUUUGCUUUUCCUCCUUGCCACGUGCUUGCGUCUCUCGAGUGCCACUCUACUGAUCUUUUCGCUACUGAACGUCAGCCCAGUGAAGAGGUGAGCUAGGGCCGCACUUUUGCGGGCACAGGACACGGAGAGAAGAGGUAGAUACAUUCAAAGUCGAGCUACUUGCAAGCUUGGCAAGGGACGCCUUCCCUUCCUCUGCCCCUCUUCCCAGAAAACGCACGCACACAAACCGAGCCACGUACACAGGCAAGCUUGUGUACCUGCCAUAAUGUCGCGCGUGCCCAUCUCGGAGGAGCAGGCUCAGCAGAUGGUGGCGAAGCAGCAGGCGCAGCAGGAGCGGAUGGAGGCUUUUGAGGAGCAGAAGGAGAAUAUGCUGCGCGCGUUCGUAAGUGCGGAGGGCCGCGAGCGCCUGAAGCGCAUCGCGCAGGUGAAGGCGGGCCGCGCCCAGGCUGUAGAGAUGCACAUCAUCCAAGCCGUGCAGAGAGGCAAGAUGCAGCCGCCCGUGUCGGAUGACACGGUGCGGGAGCUGUUGGGCCAGAUGGCGAACCAGGAAGCGGAGAGCAGGUCUCAGAUCACCAUUGCUCGCAAGCGCACGGAUGAUGAUUGGUAAGCCGCCGGUGAAGCGAAAAGACCGGGGCAGGGCGGCGGUGUGCCGCUAAGUUGGCGAGUGGGAAGGUGGGACGCAGGGAGAGCACGGGGGAGCACGGAAGAGACCCCAUCACUGCAGCCGAUGAAAAUCGAGGGUAAAGAAAUAGGAGAGAGAGAGGCAGUGUGGAAAGGGUGGAGGUGGGGGGCAGUGAAGCCUGUUGGGGCGUAGGGUGCAUCCCCCCUCCCCCUCUUUUCUCUAGUCCGCUGUUGCUCAUUUCUCGUUCUUGCCGUCUUGCGCUUUCUCGGCUUCCGCCCUUCCUUCAUCUCUCUGUAGUCCAACGUGAACCGUUCCUCUUUUCCUUUGUCCCCUCCUACCACUACUAAUACUCCCGCUGAUACCUGCACACUGAGACCCUCCAACUCCUCUACGGCUCAGACGUCCAUCGUGGCAGAUGCCGUCUCUCUCUAUCCCGGUAUCACCCCGCUUCUUUUGUGCUCGGCAGCGGAGUUUUUACCGUGGCACUGCAGCGCCCUGUUCGACGGGUCGAAGACACCUACGUAAGCACACGCACACACACAUAUAGGCCCAUGGGUAUAGAGCGUGUGCAUGCCGUGGCAAGACGGUGGGCUCAGUACACGUUGUGUGGUCUUCAUUGCGGGCAACUGAGUUGACGAUGCUCUCUCUGUGGAGGGCGGAGGAGCGAACGAGGCGCUGCGUGUGCGUGUGUGGGAAGUUUUUGGCGCGGAAUAUGGGAUGAGAGGGUGGAGGACAGCCAGACGAUGGUGCUCAAGCGUGUGGACACAUUGCUGCCGGCUGAGGAAGGUCAUCUGCGUUGCUGUUGAAUAUUUAUCCGUCGCAUUACUCGCCGUAAUGGGGUGCACCUUUUUUCCAUAUCUGUAAAUGUGUGCGUCUGUUCCUUGACUAGGAUCGACUCACUCGUUGCCUUUCUUUUCAAGCGUCGGCGCGUGCUUGUUUAUCUCCCCUCCCGCGCCUCCAUCUGUAUGCGUAUAUGCGUACGUCUGUGUGUGUGGAGGUGUGUGUGUAUGUGCCACAAGUGAGGUUCGUAACAACACGAAAAAAAAACUUUCCAAAAAGAAACGAGUAACAGGCGCGCCGGAGGAUGGCGCACUGCUGUGCGCAUGGAUGCCUCUCGUGCACGCGUGCCACUCUUCGGACGCUUCCAUGCAUGGUGAACACAGACGAGAAGCAUCGAUCAUAUGAUUGCUCGGCGCUCUUUGCUGUUUUUUUUUUCUGCUCCUCUUCGCGGACGGAUCGCAUUGCUGAGUUUCUCGUCGCCUCUGGGUGCAAGUAGCGGUGGCUGAUGCGGAAA
rnacentral:misc_RNA from 1 species